UGGUUAAAAUAUUUGAAGCUUUGAACGUUGGCUACUCUGUUUCACUUUUCCCUCUAAAAGGUUUUUUUUUGUUUUCCAAUGCACUGAUAUACCUCUACCUCUGUUUCUCCAUUUCCCUCCAAAAAGUUUUUUUUUGUCCGGUUGAGUUAAACAAAUCAUUUAGUUUUAAGUGUGGUGUUAACAUUUAAAUGACGUGGCUCAAUUUUGAGUGUUGAUCAUUUAAAAAAAAAAAUCCCCACCGUAAACUGGAGCCUCUCCAUUUCAAAGGGAAAUGGAGAGGAUCCGGAUCCUCUUCCCAAGGUCCCAAAGUUCACUCCUCUGACGGUAGAUUUGGACAACCCAAUGGUUAAUGUGGCACCCGUCCAGACCGUUCCACUCGUCCAGUCUGAGAAUCUUCCCCCUCCAACUAAAGCUCCUCGUAGGGCUCAUCCCUCAGAGCCGUCUAAGCGUCCUCCUAACCUAGUGCUGGAUGAGAGUUAUGCAUGGAAGAUGUUCAAAGGAAUCAUUACUGACAAUGAAGUGAAUUCAUGUUAUAAUAUGUCAGUAAGGGACUUUGAACGUUCUACCAUUCAUGACCUUUUUAAGGCCAUGUCAAAGUUUUACACGAUGUCCAGCUAGGCUAAGGAGUUAUGUGAUAAAGCCCAAACAGCCAAGGAGAAGAACAAAGAGCUGAACAAUGAGGUCCUUUUGAAAAAGGGGGAAGUGAUCAGAUUGACUGAGGAUCUUGGUCGUUUGCAAGGAAUAGAGACGAAGCUGAAAGACGAGGUUGAGGAACUUAAAGCAGAUCCCAUUGAGAAAGAGACCCACAUUGCUCACUUGGAGGGAAAAGUUUCAGAGUUCAACUCGUCUUUGGAGAAGGCUCGUGAAGAAGUUGUUGCAGCUUUCAAGAAGCUAGACGAGUACAAGAAUCGUCUAGAUAGUCAUUAUGUAGCUGGCUACGAGUACUUCCGUGCUGAUGCCAAGGAGGCUUACCCUGACCUGGACUUUGAUUCCUUCAAAAUUCCUCUUGCCACAAAAAGUUCUUUGCUUCUGACAAGUUCUAAGGACUUCAACGUGGUGGACGAUGCUACUAAUGAAGUAACCCAGGAUGCCACUGUUGUCAGCAGGGACGACCUAAAGUCUCGGGGCAAUGCCCCUAAUGGUUUAUCUCAGUAAAUUUAUCUUGUUUUAGAAAAAUUUUAUUAUUUUAGUUUAUUGGAAAUGCCCAUUGUUUUGGGCUUUACUUUUUUUAGAAUUCAUUCAAGUACAAUUUUCUUGUCCAAGUUUAGGGACGAGCUAUAUAUACAAUUUCCCUUAUUGGCUUUACAUAACUCAAGGGAUUUUGGAUGGUGGUCAUCUACCCUUCUUUUA